rnacentral:rRNA from 1 species
AAUCUUCCACAAUGGACGCAAGUCUGAUGGAGCAACGCCGCGUGAGUGAAGAAGGAUUUCGGUUCGUAAAACUCUGUUGUAAGGGAAGAACAAGUACAGUAGUAACUGGCUGUACCUUGACGGUACCUUAUUAGAAAGCCACGGCUAACUCCGUGCCAGCAGCCGCGGUAAUACGUAGGUGGCAAGCGUUUUCCGGAAUUAUUGGGCGUAAAGCGGGCGGAGGCGUUCCUUUAAGUCUGAUGUGAAAGCCCACGGCUCAACUGUGGAGGGUCAUUGGAAACUGGGGGACUUGAGUGCAGAAGAGGAAAGUGGAAUUCCAAGUGUGGCGGUGAAAUGCGUAGAGAUUUGGAGGAACACCAGUGGCGAAGGCGACUUUCUGGUCUGUAACUGACGCUGAGGCGCGAAAGCGUGGGGAGCAAACAG